UUCGAUUCUGGCUCAGAUUGAACGCUGGCGGGAUGCUUUACAUGCAAGUCGAACAGCGGCACGGACUUUGGUCUGGUGGCGAGUGGCGCGAACGGGUGAUGGUAAUCUGUAUCGGAACGUGCCUAGUAGCGGGGAUAACUACGCGAAAGCGUAGCUAAUACCACAUACGCCCUUCGGAAAGCAGGACGCCGGGCCUCGCACUGACCAAACGGCCGAUAUCGGAUUAGCACUGAUUGGUGGUAACUUACGGCUCACCAGGCGACGAUCAUAUAGCUGGUUUGAAGGACGACCAGCCACGCAGGACUGGAGACACACGGCCCAGGCUCUACGGGAGGCAGCAGUGGGGAAUUUUGGACAAUGGGAAACCCUGAUCCAGCCAUCCCGCGUGUGCGAUGAAGGCCUUCGGGUUGUAAGCACUUUUGGCAGGAAAGAAACGGCACGGGAUAAUACCCCGUGCAACUGACAGUACCUGCAGAAUAAGCACCGGCUAACUACGUGCCAGCAGCCGCGGUAAUACGUAGGGUGCAAGCGUUAAUCCAGAAUUACUGGGCGUAAAGCGUGCGCAGGCGGUUCGGAAAGAAAGAUGUGAAAUCCAGAGCUUAACUUUGGAACUGCAUUUCAACUACCGAGCUAGAGUGUGUCAGAGGGAGGUGGAAUUCGCGUGUAGCAGUGAAAUGCGUAGAUAUGCCGGAGGAACACCGAUAAGCGAAAACGGCCUCAUGGAGGAUAACACUGACGCUCAUGCACGAAAGCGUGGGGAGCAAACAGGAUGGGGCUCACCUGGUAGUCCACACUGCUAAACGAUGUCAACUAGCUGUUGGGGCCUUCGGGCCUUGGUAAGCGCAGCUAACGCGUGAAGUUGACCGCCUGGGGAUACGGUCGCAAGAUUAAAACUCAAAGGAAUUGACGAGGACCCGCACAAGCGGUGGAUGAUGUGGAUUAAUUCGAUGCAACGCGAAAAACCUUACCUACCGCUUGACAUGUCUGGAAUCGAAGAGAUUUGGGAGUGCUCGCAAGAGAACCGGAACAGGUGCUGCAUGGCUGUCGUCAGCUCGUGUCGUGAGAUGUUGGGUUAAGAAGUCCGCAACGAGCGCAACCCUUGUCAUUGGUUGCUACGAAAGGGCACUCUAAUGAGACUGCCGGUGACAAACCGGAGGAAGGUGGGGAUGACGUCAAGUCCUCAUGGCCCUUAUAGGUAGGGCUUCACACGUCAUACAAUGGUCAGGUGGUCUCCAACCAAGAGAAGACCAAUCCCAGAAACCCGAUCGUAGUCCGGAUCGCAGUCUGCAACUCAUUGCGGCUGAAGUCGGAAAUCGCUAGUAAUCGCGGAUCGUAUGUCGCGGUGGGCGUGGUCCCGAAUGUACCACCGCCCGUCACACCAUGGGAGUGGUUUGAAAUGGAUUAGCAACUAAUAUGGGAGAGUGAUUACCUACGGUGAUUCUUGACUGGUGAAGUCGUAACAAGGUAA
rnacentral:rRNA from 1 species